UUUACGACAGAAACCAGAAAGAAAAAGAGAGGAAGAGAGAGAGAGAGAGAAAGAACGAAGGAAAGAAAGAAAGGGAGAUCCGUUCAAACCGUCGACAUUUUGGAGAAACCUCAAGUUGAGAAAAAUGCUAGGGGGAUUGAGAUGAAGCUGCUGCCAAAAUUUGGUGGCCAUCGGAGAAGUUGACCGCCGAGUGAACAGUACCGCGCGUGAACAGUGCGGUGCGUGAACAGUGUUUGCAGGCGAAUUAGUGAGGUCGGGCGUACACGGAGUUGAGGCAUAGUCAACAGCAUGACUUCCGCGUUUGCCUUUGAGUUAGGUCUUGUGCUACAGUAAUAGGUGUUUGAUCAAGGGCAAACCUGUCAGUUGAUUGAACUCUGAUUAGUUUGUUCAAGGAACAUCCCUUUCUUGGGUAGGCAGUAAUCAAUCUGUAUGUGAACUUUGGAGUAAAGUAGUGAGGAAAAGAAAGGCGCGCAUAGUUGGAGGUCAUGAUUUGCAUGCAAAAGCAAAUCUGCAGGGCUUGUGUUGUGAGCUAUCUCAAAGAUGCUUUUCUUUCUGCUUAAAUUAUACACUAGGUUUCUUCUUUAAUCUUGUUUUUAAUUGUUGUCUCCCUCAUAUUUUCCAUUGUUGAAACUGUUCAACAUCAUGUUCAAGCCAGCCCAAUUCCUUUCUAAAGUACGUGGUUCAGAUUCAUAUACAUAUGGUGGGAUUGAUGCACUUUCAUAGAACUGCAUUAAUGGGCCACAAAACAAAUAAAUAAACAAAAUUUGUUAACCAUAUGUUAUGCUCUUUGAAGGCGGUUGUGAAGAUCAUUACUAAGAUUUUGUUCUUUCAGACUUUUUAAUCUGACACAACU